rnacentral:tRNA from 1 species
GAGGGUAUAGCUCAGUGGUAGAGCGUGUGCUUUGUAUGCACAAGGUCCUGGAUUCAAUCACCAGUACCUCUG